UUUACACGUUUUAGGUUCCAGUGU
rnacentral:siRNA from 1 species